AAAUGUUGGCAUGAGUAGCGAGACGUGGGUGAGAAUCCCACGGGCCGUAAACCCAAGGUUUCCAGGGGAAGGUUCGUCCGCCCUGGGUUAGUCGGGACCUAAGCCGAGGCCGAAAGGCGUAGGUGAUGGACAACAGGUUGAUAUUCCUGUACCGCCAAUAAGCGUUUGAGAGAUGGAGUGACACAGUAGGAUAAGCUAACCGUACUGUUGGUUAUGUACGGCUAAGCAUUGAGGCAGUCUAAAUAGGCAAAUCCGUUUAGGCAAUGCUAGGAUGUGAUGGGGAAGCCCUUCGGGGCGAAGUAGCUGAUUUCACACUGUCAAGAAAAGCUUCUAUCGAGUUUAAAGGCGCCCGUACCGUAAACCGACACAGGUGGGUGAGGAGAGUAUCCUAAGGCCAGCGAGAGAACUAUUGUUAAGGAACUCGGCAAAAUGACCCCGUAACUUAGGGAGAAGGGGUGCCUGUCUAUGACAGGCCGCAGAGAAUAGGCCCAAGCGACUGUUUACCAAAAACACAGGUUUCUGCUAAGUCGCAAGACGAUGUAUAGGAGCUGACGCCUGCCCGGUGCUGGAAGGUUAAGGGGAUCUGUUAGAGCAAUCGAAGCAGUGAACUAAAGCCCCAGUAAACGGCGGCCGUAACAAUAACGGUCCUAAGGUAGCGAAAUUCCUUGUCGGGUAAGUUCCGACCCGCACGAAAGGCGUAACGAUUUGGGCACUGUCUCAAUAAUAGACUCGGUGAAAUUGUAAUCCCGGUGAAGAUGCCGGGUACCUGCGACAGGACGGAAAGACCCCAUGGAGCUUUACUGUAGCUUGACGUUGGGUCUUGGUACUACAUGUACAGGAUAGGUGGGAGACUAUGAAGCAUGGACGCCAGUCUGUGUGGAGUCAUCCUUGGGAUACCACCCUUGUAGUACUGGGAUCCUAACCAUAGGCCUUGAAUCAGGUCUUGGAACACCGUCAGGUGGGCAGUUUGACUGGGGCGGUCGCCUCCUAAAAAGUAACGGAGGCGCUCAAAGGUUUCCUCAGCACGGUCGGAAAUCGUGCGAAGAGUGUAAAGGCAAAAGGAAGCUUGAUUGCAAGACAUACAGGUCGAGCAAGGACGAAAGUCGGACUUAGUGAUCCGGUGGUACCGCAUGGAAGGGCCAUCGCUCAACGGAUAAAAGCUACCCUGGGGAUAACAGGCUUAUCUCCCCCAAGAGUCCACAUCGACGGGGAGGUUUGGCACCUCGAUGUCGGCUCAUCACAUCCUGGGGCUGUAGUAGGUCCCAAGGGUUGGGCUGUUCGCCCAUUAAAGUGGUACGCGAGCUGGGUUCAGAACGUCGUGAGACAGUUCGGUCCCUAUCCGUCGCAGGCGUAGGAAAUUUGAGAAGACCUGUCCUUAGUACGAGAGGACCGGGAUGGACGUACCUCUGGUGUACCAGUUGUUCUGCCAAGGGCAUGGCUGGGUAGCUAUGUACGGAAUGGAUAAGCGCUGAAAGCAUCUAAGCGCGAAGCCAACUUCAAGAUAAGAUUUCCCACCGUAAGGGUAAGACCCCAGGAAGACUACCUGGUUGAUAGGUCGAAGGUGUAAGUGCAGUAAUGUAUUUAGCUUAUCGAUACUAAUAGGUCGAGGACUUGACC
rnacentral:rRNA from 1 species